rnacentral:rRNA from 1 species
UAAAAGUCGUAACAAGGUUUUCGUAGGUGAACCUGCGGAAGGAUCAUUAAUGAAUUCGGGCGCUCGACUCCGAAAUAUUGAGAUCGGCCCCAUUUCUUAAUCCACUUCACACUUGUGCACAUUUUUCCUACUUUCCUUCGGGAGAGUUUGAAAAGCUCUUGUGAUUUUAAUCAAGUCCAGGAUGUGAAUCCAAUUUGAAUAAGUUGUAAAACAACUACAAACGGUGGAUCUCUUGGCUCUCGUAUCGAUGAAGAACGCAGCGAAACGCGAAAUGUAAUGUGAAUUGCAGAAUUCAGUGAAUCAUCGAAUCUUUGAACGCAUCUUGCACUCUCGAAUCACUAUCGAGAGUACGCCUGUUUGAGUGUCGCGAAACUCUCAACCCCGCCUCAUGCUUUAUUGCGUGUGGGUAGCUUGGGCUUGGAUCAUGAUCUUUGCAGUAAUGCGCUAGCAGAACUGCUGGAUUGAAAUACAACAAGCUGAAUCUAUAUACUUGCGGCUUGACCUGUCGUUGUAAGCACACAAAUGCAUUCGAUGGGGACGCGAGAAAAUGGAAUGAGCUUUCCAAAUGUGUUACACUUUGCAGCUUCUAUUAACUUAGAGCUCUUAGUGCAUUCUGACCUCAAAUCAGGUAGGAUUACCCGCUGAACUUAAGCAUAUCAAUA